rnacentral:rRNA from 1 species
UACGGGGGGUGCGAGCGUUGUCCGGAAUCACUGGGCGUAAAGAGCUCGUAGGCGGUUUGUCGCGUCUGCUGUGAAAACUCGGGGCUUAACCCCGGGCCUGCAGUGGGUACGGGCAGACUAGAGUGCGGUAGGGGAGACUGGAAUUCCUGGUGUAGCGGUGAAAUGCGCAGAUAUCAGGAGGAACACCGGUGGCGAAGGCGGGUCUCUGGGCCGUAACUGACGCUGAGGAGCGAAAGCGUGGGGAGCGAACAGG